UACGGAGGGUGCAAGCGUUGCUCGGAAUUAUUGGGCGUAAAGAGCGUGUAGGCGGCCAAGUAGGUCCGGUGUGAAAACUCGAGGCUUAACCUCGAGACGUCGGUUGAAACCACCUGGCUAGAGUCCGGAAGAGGAGAGUGGAAUUCCCGGUGUAGCGGUGAAAUGCGCAGAUAUCGGGAAGAACACCCGUGGCGAAGGCGGCUCUCUGGGACGGUACUGACGCUGAGACGCGAAAGCGUGGGGAGCGAACAGG
rnacentral:rRNA from 1 species